AGCUUUGCGCAGGGGCACUGUCAUAGCCAAUGAGGGUUAUCCAAGGCACAGUUAUUGCUAAUUGAAACUCAUUGAACAAAA
rnacentral:snRNA from 1 species